GGGUUGUGAGGUUAAGUGACUAAGCGUACACGGUGGAUGCCUAGGCAGUCAGAGGCGAUGAAGGGCGUGCUAAUCUGCGAAAAGCGUCGGUAAGGUGAUAUGAACCGUUACAACCGGCGAUACCCGAAUGGGGAAACCCAGUGUGUUUCGACACACUAUCAUGUCAUGAAUACAUAGUGGCAUGAGGCGAACCGGGGGAACUGAAACAUCUAAGUACCCCGAGGAAAAGAAAUCAACCGAGAUUCCCCCAGUAGCGGCGAGCGAACGGGGAGGAGCCCAGAACCUGAAUCGGCUUGUGUGUUAGUGGAAGCGUCUGGAAAGUCGCGCAGCAAAGGGUGAUAGCCCCGUACACUAAAAUGCACAGGUCGUGAGUUCGAUGAGUAGGGCGGGACACGUGACAUCCUGUCUGAAUAUGGGGGGACCAUCCUCCAAGGCUAAAUACUCCUGACUGACCGAUAGUGAACCAGUACCGUGAGGGAAAGGCGAAAAGAACCCCGGCGAGGGGAGUGAAAUAGAACCUGAAACCGUGUACGUACAAGCAGUGGGAGCACCUUCGUGGUGUGACUGCGUACCUUUUGUAUAAUGGGUCAGCGACUUAUAUUUUGUAGCAAGGUUAACCGUAUAGGGGAGCCGUAGGGAAACCGAGUCUUAACUGGGCGAAUAGUUGCAAGGUAUAGACCCGAAACCCGGUGAUCUAGCCAUGGGCAGGUUGAAGGUUGGGUAACACUAACUGGAGGACCGAACCGACUAAUGUUGAAAAAUUAGCGGAUGACUUGUGGCUGGGGGUGAAAGGCCAAUCAAACCGGGAGAUAGCUGGUUCUCCCCGAAAGCUAUUUAGGUAGCGCCUCGUGAACUCAUCUUCGGGGGUAGAGCACUGUUUCGGCUAGGGGGCCAUCCCGGCUUACCAAACCGAUGCAAACUCCGAAUACCGAAGAAUGUUAUCACGGGAGACACACGGCGGGUGCUAACGUCCGUCGUGAAGAGGGAAACAACCCAGACCGCCAGCUAAGGUCCCAAAGUCAUGGUUAAGUGGGAAACGAUGUGGGAAGGCAUAGACAGCCAGGAUGUUGGCUUAGAAGCAGCCAUCAUUUAAAGAAAGCGUAAUAGCUCACUGGUCGAGUCGGCCUGCGCGGAAGAUGUAACGGGGCUAAACCAUGCACCGAAGCUGCGGCAGCGACGCUUAGGCGUUGUUGGGUAGGGGAGCGUUCUGUAAGCCGUUGAAGGUGGCCUGUGAGGGUUGCUGGAGGUAUCAGAAGUGCGAAUGCUGACAUAAGUAACGAUAAAGCGGGUGAAAAGCCCGCUCGCCGGAAGACCAAGGGUUCCUGUCCAACGUUAAUCGGGGCAGGGUGAGUCGACCCCUAAGGCGAGGCUGAAAAGCGUAGUCGAUGGGAAACAGGUUAAUAUUCCUGUACUUGGUGUUACUGCGAAGGGGGGACGGAGAAGGCUAGGCUAGCCGGGCGACGGUUGUCCCGGUUUAAGCGUGUAGGGGGUGUGACCUGGUAAAUCCGGUUACAUAUCAACCCUGAGGCGUGAUGACGAUGCACUACGGUGCAGAAGUAGUUGAUGCCCUGCUUCCAGGAAAAGCCUCUAAGCUCCAGGUAACAUUAAAUCGUACCCCAAACCGACACAGGUGGUCAGGUAGAGAAUACCAAGGCGCUUGAGAGAACUCGGGUGAAGGAACUAGGCAAAAUGGUGCCGUAACUUCGGGAGAAGGCACGCUGGCAUGUAGGUGAAGUCCCUUGCGGAUGGAGCUGAAGCCAGUCGAAGAUACCAGCUGGCUGCAACUGUUUAAUAAAAACACAGCACUGUGCAAACACGAAAGUGGACGUAUACGGUGUGACGCCUGCCCGGUGCUGGAAGGUUAAUUGAUGGGGUCAGCCGCAAGGCGAAGCUCUUGAUCGAAGCCCCAGUAAACGGCGGCCGUAACUAUAACGGUCCUAAGGUAGCGAAAUUCCUUGUCGGGUAAGUUCCGACCUGCACGAAUGGCGUAAUGAUGGCCAGGCUGUCUCCACCCGAGACUCAGUGAAAUUGAACUCGCUGUGAAGAUGCAGUGUACCCGCGGCAAGACGGAAAGACCCCGUGAACCUUUACUAUAGCUUGACACUGAACAUUGAGCCUUGAUGUGUAGGAUAGGUGGGAGGCUUUGAAGCGUGGACGCCAGUCUGCGUGGAGCCAUCCUUGAAAUACCACCCUUUAAUGUUUGAUGUUCUAACUCGGCCCCAUAAUCUGGGGUGAGGACAGUGUCUGGUGGGUAGUUUGACUGGGGCGGUCUCCUCCCAAAGAGUAACGGAGGAGCACGAAGGUUAGCUAAUCACGGUCGGACAUCGUGAGGUUAGUGCAAAGGCAUAAGCUAGCUUGACUGCGAGAGUGACGGCUCGAGCAGGUACGAAAGUAGGUCUUAGUGAUCCGGUGGUUCUGAAUGGAAGGGCCAUCGCUCAACGGAUAAAAGGUACUCCGGGGAUAACAGGCUGAUACCGCCCAAGAGUUCAUAUCGACGGCGGUGUUUGGCACCUCGAUGUCGGCUCAUCACAUCCUGGGGCUGAAGUAGGUCCCAAGGGUAUGGCUGUUCGCCAUUUAAAGUGGUACGCGAGCUGGGUUUAGAACGUCGUGAGACAGUUCGGUCCCUAUCUGCCGUGGGCGUUGGAAGAUUGAGAGGGGUUGCUCCUAGUACGAGAGGACCGGAGUGAACGCACCACUGGUGUUCGGGUUGUCAUGCCAAUGGCAUUGCCCGGUAGCUAAGUGCGGAAAAGAUAAGCGCUGAAAGCAUCUAAGCGCGAAACUUGCCUCAAGAUGAGUCUUCCCUGGGCCUUUAAGGCCCCUGAAGGAACGUUUAAGACUAAGACGUUGAUAGGCUGGGUGUGUAAGUGCAGCGAUGCAUUGAGCUAACCAGUACUAAUGAUCCGUGAGGCUUAACCUUACAACACCGAAGGUGUUU
rnacentral:rRNA from 1 species